UACGUAGGGUGCAAGCGUUGUCCGGAAUUAUUGGGCGUAAAGAGCUUGUAGGCGGUUUGUCGCGUCUGCUGUGAAAUUUCGGGGCUCAACCCCGAACUUGCAGUGGGUACGGGCAGACUAGAGUGUGGUAGGGGAGACUGGAAUUCCUGGUGUAGCGGUGAAAUGCGCAGAUAUCAGGAAGAACACCAAUGGCGAAGGCAGCUCUCUGGGACGGUACUGACGCUGAGACGCGAAAGCGUGGGGAGCGAACAGG
rnacentral:rRNA from 1 species